GGGGAUUUAGCUCAGUGGUAGAGUGCUUGCCUAGCAAGCGCAAGGCCCUGGGUUCGGUUCCCAGCUCCUCA
rnacentral:tRNA from 1 species